rnacentral:rRNA from 1 species
UACGUAGGGUGCGAGCGUUAAUCGGAAUUACUGGGCGUAAAGCGUGCGCAGGCGGUUCGUUAAGUCAGAUGUGAAAGCCCCGGGCUCAACCUGGGAACUGCAUUUGAAACUGGCGGGCUUGAGUUUGGGAGAGGGAUGCGGAAUUCCAGGUGUAGCGGUGAAAUGCGUAGAUAUCUGGAGGAACACCGGUGGCGAAGGCGGCAUCCUGGACCAACACUGACACUGAGGAGCGAAAGCCAGGGGAGCAAACGGG